AGGGUUUGAUCAUGGCUCAGAACGUACGCUGGCGGCACGCCUAACACAUGCAAGUCGAACGAAGUAGCAAUACUUAGUGGCAGACGGGUGAGUAACAUGUAGGUAUCUGCCCUUUGGCCUGGAAUAACACGAGGAAACUUGUGCUAAUACCGGAUAAGUCUUUACGGAGAAAGCUUUAUGCACCAUUGGAUGAGCCUGCACUUGAUUAGUUUGUUGGUGGGGUAAUGGCCUACCAAGACUGUGAUCAAUAGCUGAUUUGAGAGGAUGAUCAGCCACAUUGGGACUGAGACACGGCCCAAACUCCUACGGGAGGCAGCAGUGGGGAAUCUUGCACAAUGGAGGAAACUCUGAUGCAGCGAUGCCGCGUGAGUGAAGAAGGCCCUUGGGUUGUAAAGCUCUUUCGUCGGGGAAGAAAAUGACUGUACCCGAAUAAGAAGGUCCGGCUAACUUCGUGCCAGCAGCCGCGGUAAUACGAAGGGACCUAGCGUAGUUCGGAAUUACUGGGCUUAAAGAGUUCGUAGGUGGUUGAAAAAGUUAGUGGUGAAAUCCCAGAGCUUAACUCUGGAACUGCCAUUAAAACUUUUCAGCUAGAGUAUGAUAGAGGAAAGCAGAAUUUCUAGUGUAGAGGUGAAAUUCGUAGAUAUUAGAAAGAAUACCAAUUGCGAAGGCAGCUUUCUGGAUCAUUACUGACACUGAGGAACGAAAGCAUGGGUAGCGAAGAGGAUUAGAUACCCUCGUAGUCCAUGCCGUAAACGAUGUGUGUUAGACGUUGGAAAUUUAUUUUCAGUGUCGCAGCGAAAGCGAUAAACACACCGCCUGGGGAGUACGACCGCAAGGUUAAAACUCAAAUGAAUUGACGGGGACCCGCACAAGUAGUGGAGCAUGUGGUUUAAUUCGAAGAUACGCGCAGAACCUUACCAACACUUGACAUGUUCGUCGCGACUCUAAGAGAUUAGAGUUUUCGGUUCGGCCGGACGAAACACAGGUGCUGCAUGGCUGUCGUCAGCUCGUGUCGUGAGAUGUUGGGUUAAGUCCCGCAACGAGCGCAACCCUCACUUUUAGUUGCCAUCAUUAAGUUGGGCACUCUGAAAGAACUGCCAGUGAUAAGCUGGAGGAAGGUGGGGAUGACGUCAAGUCCUCAUGGCCCUUACGUGUUGGGCUACACACGUGCUACAAUGGUAUCUACAACAGGAAGCAAGACUGCGAGGUCAAGCAAAUCCUUAAAAGAUACCUCAGUUCGGAUUGCACUCUGCAACUCGAGUGCAUGAAGCUGGAAUUACUAGUAAUCGUGGAUCAGCGUGCCACGGUGAAUGCGUUCCCGGGUCUUGUACACACCGCCCGUCACACCAUGGGAGUUGGUUCUACCUUAAGGCAAGGUUUCAAACCCUUGACCACGGUAUAGUCAGCGACUGGGGUGAAGUCGUAACAAGGUAGCCGUA
rnacentral:rRNA from 1 species